rnacentral:rRNA from 1 species
UACGGGGGGGGCAAGCGUUGUUCGGAAUUACUGGGCGUAAAGGGCUCGUAGGCGGCCAACUAAGUCAGACGUGAAAUCCCUCGGCUUAACCGGGGAACUGCGUCUGAUACUGGAUGGCUAGAGGUUGGGAGAGGGAUGCGGAAUUCCAGGUGUAGCGGUGAAAUGCGUAGAUAUCAAGAGGAACACCUGAGGCGAAGGCGGGUUGCUAGGCUGACACUGACGCUGAGGCGCGAAAGCCAGGGGAGCAAACGGG